UUCCUCUCCUUGUAAUUGCUCCUUUUCUUUUUCUCAUGAUUUACUUAGCUGUCUACUGCAAGCUCAUGAAAUGUCUUCUCCAACUCUCUCUUCACCAAUGUAAACAGAUGUUUUGCAAUCAUUUUAGAAUGGGAGGGCACUUAAAUGUUUUUGUCUCCUCAACUCCUUAGUGUUCGUGUAUAAAUGAAUAAUGGACUCAGAUUCAUUUGCGGUCAGGAAUACGGUGGGAUGGGUCUCAUGGGGCUGUCUUCUAAGGAAAUUCCAUUUGGGCUCACUGGAGGCAGCUACAAAAAGAUGGAGAACAGGUGAUUGUUGGUGAGAAAGUGGCUGUAGGAGGACCAGAAGGGUUAGUCACAUAAGUAUGACAAAAUUGGAACUGGAAGCAACCUUUGUCUUCACUGUUUUCUUCAAAUAACUGAUCCAGCUUUGACAUGCAGACUCUUAGACUUCUACUUCUAAAGGCCAUUGUGAAAGAUUUCAUUACAUAGAGAUAAAAAGAGUCACAUAGCUCCUCCCAGGCAGGGAUUUUGGAGUUUUCCAACAUCUUUAUCACUUUUCUUAGGAACCUUCUAUUUUGUCAAGUCUCUUCCUCAAGAAAUUGCACCCCAAAUCACACACCCCUGCUUCCAGGA